AACGAACGCUGGCGGCAUGCCUAACACAUGCAAGUCGAACGAGACCUUCGGGUCUAGUGGCGCACGGGUGCGUAACGCGUGGGAACCUGCCCUUAGGUUCGGAAUAACUCCCCGAAAGGGGUGCUAAUACCGGAUAAUGUCUUCGGACCAAAGAUUUAUCGCCUUUGGAUGGGCCCGCGUUGGAUUCGCUAGUUGGUAGUGGAAAAGCCUACCAAGGCGACGAUCCAUAGCUGGUCGGGGAGGAUGAUCAGCCACACUGGGACUGAGACACGGCCCAGACUGCUACGGGAGGCAGCAGUGUGGAGUAUUGGGCAAUGGGCGAAAGCCUGAUCCAGCAAUGCCGCGUGAGUGAUGAAGGCCUUAGGAUUGUAAAGCUCUUUUACCCGGGAUGAUAGUGACGGUACCGGGAGAAUAAGCUCCGGCUAACUCCGUG
rnacentral:rRNA from 1 species